UGGGAAAGAGAAAGAACAAGUA
rnacentral:miRNA from 1 species